GGCUCUGUAGUGAAGUUCAUGUUGAGUUGCAAGCUCAGUGAUAUGUGUUUAGAGCACAUCGGAGCCNNNU
rnacentral:tRNA from 1 species